rnacentral:lncRNA from 1 species
GUGGGUCUCUCCAUUGACUGCUACUGCAAAAAGAAGCUUCUCUGACCAAGUUGAGAUACCAGCACUAAUAUAUGGCUAUACAAAUAAAUAUUUUUGAACGCAGUUUGGCAUGUCCACUUAGCAAAACAAAAGGAGGAGAUCCCCUACCCCAGAGACUCCUCCAGAUAUGGAGUUUUGACCAGGUUUGACCAAGUAUGAAUUUUCUGUGGAGCUAGCCUCAAAUCCAAAGCAGUUGGGUACCUUUGUAAUGUCAUGUCACUAUUGUACCUGUGGAUACAUCUUGCCUGGCAGGUCAAGGUUGUAGCAUGCAGAAUACGCACACUGGGUAGGUCCACUGAAGACUUUUCUGCCCUAGAGGAGCACAUAGCACCUUCUAGUACUAUGAAAUCUAGCCACCAAGAGAGACAUUUCCAGACCCCUAGUUGGUCUGCUCUUGUGAAGAUUCCAUAUCCC